UGUGUCACAUACUGGCUCAAUAUUCUUCAGAAUAUUAAAGAAACAAGUCAACCCUUUUUUGUAACUCUAAAUCCUGAUCACAUACCAGAAAAUACCUUGCUUAAAUGGUCAACUGGUCAUCCAGUACCAUCAGUUGCUGCAUUCAAAGCCUCCUUAGAGCUAGACCAUAUUCAAGGGAAAAGAAAAAUUUGGUUUUCAGGGGCUUACCAAGGUAAUGGAUUUCAUGAAGAUGGAUUUAAGGUA